rnacentral:misc_RNA from 1 species
GAUGAAGAACGCAGCGAAAUGCGAUCCUUGGUGUGAAUUGCAGAAUCCCGUGAACCAUCGAGUCUUUGAACGCAAGUUGCGCCUCAAGCCAUUAGGUUGAGGGCACGUCUGCCUGGGCGUCACAUAUCGUUGCCUGAUGCCAGUUUCCUCGUGAUGGGUGACUGUGCAGGGCGAAUGAUGGCUUCCCGUGAGCAUUGUUGCCUCAUGGUUGGUUGAAAAUUGAGUCCUUGGUAGGGAGCGCCGUGAUAGAUGGUGGUUGAGUGACGAACGAGACCCAAUCAUGUGAGACCCCUACCGAAUUUGGCCUUCAUGACCCACAUGCGUCUUUGGAACGCUCAUGACGAGACCUCAGGUCAGGCGGGGCUACCCGCUGAGUUUAAGCAUAUCAAUAAGCGGAGGA